rnacentral:pre_miRNA from 1 species
GAUUUAAACUGAAGAAGUCAUCAACAACAAAGUUGUAUAACUCAUCAAGAUCUAUAACUUUUAUUUUGAUCAUUUAUUCAUCCGACAAAGUGAUAAUAAUAUGGUUCACAAAUUUUACAUAUCCCUCAUAUGGUUUUAUAAACUAUAAGAGAGAUAUGCAAAUUUUGUGAACAAUGUUACUGUCACUUUGUCGGAUCAAUAAAUGAUUAAAUAAAAGUUGUAUGUCUUGAUGAGUUCUACAACUUUUAUGUUCGUGACUUUUUUAGCUGAAAUU